rnacentral:rRNA from 1 species
AUACGGAGGGGGCUAGCGUUGUUCGGAAUUACUGGGCGUAAAGCGUGCGUAGGCGGACUAUUAAGUCAGAGGUGAAAUCCCGGGGCUCAACCCCGGAACUGCCUUUGAUACUGGUAGUCUUGAGGUCGAGAGAGGUGAGUGGAAUUCCUAGUGUAGAGGUGAAAUUCGUAGAUAUUAGGAGGAACACCAGUGGCGAAGGCGGCUCACUGGCUCGAUUCUGACGCUGAGGUACGAAAGUGUGGGGAGCAAACAGGAUUAGAAACCCUAGUAGUCC